rnacentral:rRNA from 1 species
CCCAGUGGCGGACGGGUGAGUAACGCGUGGGUAACCUGCCCUGUACAGGGGGACAACAGCCGGAAACGGCUGCUAAUACCGCAUAAGCCCGCGGCGCCGCAUGGCGCUGUGGGGAAAACUCCGGUGGUACAGGAUGGGCCCGCGUCUGAUUAGCUAGUUGGCGGGGUAACGGCCCACCAAGGCAGCGAUCAGUAGCCGGCUUGAGAGAGUGGACGGCCACAUUGGGACUGAGACACGGCCCAGACUCCUACGGGAGGCAGCAG